rnacentral:rRNA from 1 species
UAGGGAAUCUUCGGCAAUGGACGAAAGUCUGACCGAGCAACGCCGCGUGAGUGAAGAAGGUUUUCGGAUCGUAAAACUCUGUUGUUAGAGAAGAACAAGGACGUUAGUAACUGAACGUCCCCUGACGGUAUCUAACCAGAAAGCCACGGCUAACUACGUGCCAGCAGCCGCGGUAAUACGUAGGUGGCAAGCGUUGUCCGGAUUUAUUGGGCGUAAAGCGAGCGCAGGCGGUUUCUUAAGUCUGAGGUGAAAGCCCCCGGCUCAACCGGGGAGGGUCGUUGGAAACUGGGGGACUUGAGUGCAGAAGAGGAGAGUGGAAUUCCAUGUGUAGCGGUGAAAUGCGUAAAUAUAUGGAGGAACACCAGGGGCGAAGGCGGCUCUCUGGUCUGUACCUGACCCUGGGGCUCGAAAGCGUGGGGGGCAAACAGG